rnacentral:lncRNA from 1 species
AAGCAUACCCUGUAUGAGGAUAGGAGUGGUGAGGGCACCAGAUUCAUCAAGGUGAUACACAUGACCUUGGGCUACUGGUCUGGCCAUGUCCUUCGGCUGCUGGGGGUAGUCUUUCAAAAAGUACUGACUUCUUCUGCACUUGUAGCAAGUAUUGUUCAAAUGCCGAUAGGGGUGGUCACCAUGCAAGCGAUCAUAAUGCUGGCAUGGUUGGGAAGUUCGGCCAGGUUGUUCAAUAGGUGAAGGUAGAGCAGGGGAGGGGCAACUCGGGGUCGCUUAUCAGGAU